CGGCCCCGCCCCCGCCGGGGAGCGACCCCCGCGCCGCGCCGGACCGGACCGGGCUGGGCUGUGCGACCCCGGGGCCGCUGCGGCACAGCGAGACACCGCGCUCCUCUCACCGGGCUCCUUCCGUUCCGUUCCGUAGAGGCCGGGAUUACAUAACGGCGCCGGAGCGAGCAGCUGCAGGAUUACACCAUGCGGAUUAGGGAUUACGUUGAUUCAGCAGAUUGUCCUGUGCAUGUCUGAGAAAGAUUACACCAGCAGAGUUAAGAAUACCCAUUUGCUGUGUUCUGUACACAGAGCAAAGUGUAUCUGUGAGCCAGCUCAAGAGGACGCCUUUGGGUGGGGACCUUGCUGUUACAGCCUGAGCUGCCAUUUCAGAUCUUCUUGUAUGGACAGGACAGUUAAAAAGUUAGAGAAGUCACCUGAGGUCCCAUGAAAACCAGAAACGGCAACUUCUAAAGUGCUGUUGCCUCUACCAAGAACAAAAGUUGUUGUCGGAAUAAUAUGCGAACAGAUCAUGAAGAGCUCUGUGGCACCAAUUAUGGAUCUUUUUGUCUAAAUGGAGGGAUCUGUUAUAUGAUUCCUACUGUAUCCAGUCCAUUCUGCAGGUGUAUUGAGAAUUACACAGGAGCUCGUUGUGAGGAAGUUUUGCUGCCCAGCAUCAAAUCCCAAACAAAAGGUGACCUGUUUGCAGCUUUCUUGGCUUCACUUCUUCUUCUAGGAGUUCUUGUAAUUGGAGCAUUCUACUUCCUUUGCAGGAAAGUUUCCAUUCCAAGGACAAGUUCUUCAGAGUGUGGCGCCAACCUAGUUGAAGCUACAAGSAGCAAUGGCUGCAACAAAAUAACAACAGCAUAAAGCAUUAGAGUGGAAGAAUGGUGAGGAAACAACAUGCAGAGCAACCCUAAGAAUGAUUGYCCCAGAGGAGCUGAAGAGCCUCUUGAUUCAAUGAUUUCAAAAUUUAUACUUGUGAUACAUGUACAGAAUUUGGUUUGUUUCAGAUACCUUUACCAGAUGUAGGAGAAAAAAAAAAUACCCCACUGGUAGUUUACUGACCAGCUUCCUGGCACACGCUUUUAAUCCAGAUUAAAGGGAAAUACUAAGAAAAGAGAUUGAUAAUGGUUAAAAAUGUUUUUUAGGCAGAGUAUUUGCCCUCUGGUUGGUAAACAUCUCUAAUAUUAAGCAAGACAUAAUCCUUGAUGGUUUUUAAUUUUGUUGGCUUUCUUCUGAAAAUCUCACUACUGAGGCAAAAUGUAAACCUUACCUUAAACUUUCCAGUUGAUAUUUCAGAUAGCAGAAGUCAGGAAUUUUGUUCAUCAGGUCAAUUUCUGACAAAAUAUUAUCUAGACAGGUGUCUUGGCUGAAAAAGUCCUGCCAUCUCCAAAGAUUUAUUUCUUUUAUUCACAUAAACAUCUGUUGAUUACAGUAAUAUAUUAUAUUCCACAUUUUGGUCCCUUGUAAGUAUUCUCUUAUUCAGACAAAAAGAGGCCACAYGCCAUGGUCCAUGUCUUUCUUUGCCUUCACAACACAAAGAGAAUGUCUGGUUAGUCAGAGGUAUAGAAAAUGUGAACUGAACUAUUUUCUUUUCAACUUAUUUCUAGCACUGGAGGCUGAAAACAGCAAAAAUCAUAAGGGCACAUUACCAAGCAGGUAAUGUAAUGUAUGUAAUUUAGAAGGUAGUACUGAAGGGAAGAUUAGUUGAGAAAACUUCAUGAAUUGAGAGAAAAUGCAGAACAGAGAUUUCUUAUCUCUGAAAUAAACAAUCMAGAGUGUGUAAAAACAUGGGUUCAGAGAAAAUGUUGAAUAAGUUCCUAUUCCUARGAUGUCUACUACAUGCUCUAGUGUCAGAAUAAACAGUGUGUACUUGUAUCAAUGUAGACAAAAGCAUGGGGGGGUGGUGCAGAGAAGGAAAGGCACACGGGAACAGUGUAUAAGGUGAGAAGUCAAAGAGAAAACCAUGUUACUAUGGCUACAGAACACAAACCAGAAAAAUUCAUCACCUUCUAAAAACUYAUGUCAGAGAAGUCAGAGUCCAAGUUAGUGCUCAGCAUGUGAAARGAGAAUCUGAGGGCACCAAAUAGAGGACUUGAUCCAGAGAUUAAGUUAUAUGAAGCACUAAAAGAUCACUUUCUCCCCRAAUUAACCAAUCUUACAUGAUAUUUUCUGGAAUUCAGAUCUUUAGCAGAUAAACUGAAGGAAGCUGACAGUACUGUUUUAAAGGCUACAAAGAAUAAAAACUAUUUUUCAUCACAUAGGGACAGGUCACCAUUGUACAGAGCUCAGGAGAUGUGUAGCAAUACUGACAGCUACAUCAGAAUCAGUGUUACCUCAAGUACUUGCACAGCCUCAGUGAAAAUUAAUCAGAGAUGACUGCUGUUAGAUAACCUUGCUGUGCUAUUGAUCAUGGGACAGUCAGAUUUACAGUCUGGAAUACUAUCUCUACUGAAGAAGGAAAAGGCUUGUGGUCAUCUGAAGUGGUAAUUCAGGAAGGAGAUACUAAYAGAAGAUACAAGAAAUAAAUGGACUGAAGUUGUUCUGUAUAAACUCUUAGAAUCCUCUUAGCUUUCUAGGCAGACAUGGAAUAGUUAUUGUUACWGAGCUUGUUUGCAUUAUUUGGGAAACAAGUUGUAUAAAAAGUGAGGCUGAAUAAACUAACCCCAUGUUUAAAUGCAAACAAGCUGAUUUAUGAAACAGUGUUAUCUAUAAAGGAAAUGCUAUAAACAAAUCAGACUGUCUCAAACUCAUUGCAUCUGAACAUUUUGGCUUCUAAAAUUAUUUCAGUUCACAAACUUUGUGACUAUGAUGUUCAGAUGAAAAUGAGAUCGAGCUAUGAAUCAUUUUAAGGUGCUCAAAUGCCACAGAAAGCACACAGUAGCCAAUAUUAUAUAUAACUCAAUAAAACACCGCAACACUUUUUAGCAGUGCUUGCURACAAAAUUAAGGAAGUAGUUCUGUGAGCAAUAAAGUUAAGGAAACCCCAGUUCCAAUGGAUCAGAUCUUGUGGUUGGAGUCACUGGAGUCUAAAAAAUUAUUACAUGUUUACAAAAGGGUGAGUAACAAGGGCUCUCUCUCGUCUGACUCCCAUUUUCAUGAAAUAGAAGAUCUCAUGUCUUUGAAAUUACUUCUCCACCAGCUGAAAGGUUAUGUAGGGAAGMAACUGGAAAAGACUAAUUUCCUCAGAAACUCCACCACUACUAUGAUUACACAACAAUCUAUUAUAGUGCUAUGGCAAAAAUYCUUUUAUACCUGAGGAUCAUGUUAUCCUUCCUAUCUUUGUAGUAAAAGUCUUUUCAUUGGAAAAAUCUUUUGAUCACUUGCAGAUCUGACAGCCAUCAGCAGGAAAUCUCUCUAUAGACUUAAGUAAGAGAUUGCUUAUAUGUUACUURUUAUAUAACUGGUUUUUGUUAGCAGCCCAAACAGUAGAGCAAAGUACAAUUAAAGAAAAUCAAAUGGCAUUUCAAAGAAAGUGAGAUUUCUCUGUGCUGCAGAGUCUUUGAUUUAUGUCAAAYCUUAAGCAGGAAAACYAACAGGAAGCCCAUUUGGCAGCACUYCCCAUUUUAAAGACACUUCCARUGUU